rnacentral:rRNA from 1 species
UACGUAGGGGGCGAGCGUUGUCUGGAAUGACUGGGCGUAAAGGGCGUGUAGGCGGUUUAAUAAGUCUGGAGUGAAAGUCCUGUUUUUAAGGGGGGAAUUGCUUUGGAUACUGUUGAACUUGAGUGCGGAAGAGGUAAGUGGAAUUCCCAGUGUAGCGGUGAAAUGCGUAGAGAUUGGGAGGAACACCAGUGGCGAAGGCGACUUACUGGGCCGUAACUGACGCUGAGGCGCGAAAGCGUGGGGAGCGAAC